rnacentral:rRNA from 1 species
GACGAACGCUGGCGGCGUGCCUAAUACAUGCAAGUAGAACGCUGAAGGAGGAGCUUGCUUCUCCGGAUGAGUUGCGAACGGGUGAGUAACGCGUAGGUAACCUGCCUGGUAGCGGGGGAUAACUAUUGGAAACGAUAGCUAAUACCGCAUAACAGUAGAUGUUGCAUGACAUUUGCUUAAAAGGUGCAAUUGCAUCACUACCAGAUGGACCUGCGUUGUAUUAGCUAGUUGGUGAGGUAACGGCUCACCAAGGCGACGAUACAUAGCCGAACGGGGAGGGUGGUAGGCCACCCUGGGACUGGGACACGGCCCAGACGCCUGCGGGAGGCAGCAGUAGGGAAUCGUAGGCAAUGGACGGAAGUCUGGCCGAGCAACGCCGCGUGAGUGAAGAAGGUUCUCGGAUCGUAAAGAUCUGUUGUAAGAGAAGAACGAGUGUGGGAGUGGAAAGUUCACACUGUGACGGUAUCUUAACAGAAAGGGACGGCUAACUACGUG